AGUGGACGCUGGCGGUAGGCCUAACACAUGCAAGUCGAACGGCAGCACAGGAGAGCUUGCUCUCUGGGUGGCGAGUGGCGGACGGGUGAGGAAUACAUCGGAAUCUACUCUGUCGUGGGGGAUAACGUAGGGAAACUUACGCUAAUACCGCAUACGACCUACGGGUGAAAGCAGGGGACCUUCGGGCCUUGCGCGAUUGAAUGAGCCGAUGUCGGAUUAGCUAGUUGGCGGGGUAAAGGCCCACCAAGGCGACGAUCCGUAGCUGGUCUGAGAGGAGGAUCAGCCACACGGGAACUGAGACACGGUCCAGACUCCUACGGGAGGCAGCAGUGGGGAAUAUUGGACAAUGGGCGCAAGCCUGAUCCAGCCAUACCGCGUGGGUGAAGAAGGCCUUCGGGUUGUAAAGCCCUUUUGUUGGGAAAGAAAUCCAGCUGGCUAAUACCCGGUUGGGAUGACGGUACCCAAAGAAUAAGCACCGGCUAACUUCGUGCCAGCCGCCGCAGUAA
rnacentral:rRNA from 1 species